rnacentral:rRNA from 1 species
UACGAAGGGUGCAAGCGUUACUCGGAAUUACUGGGCGUAAAGCGUGCGUAGGCGGUUUGUUAAGUCUGAUGUGAAAGCCCUGGGCUCAACCUGGGAAUGGCAUUGGAUACUGGCAACCUAGAAUGUGGUAGAGGGUGGCGGAAUUCCCGGUGUAGCAGUGAAAUGCGUAGAUAUCGGGAGGAACAUCCGUGGCGAAGGCGGCCACCUGGACCAACAUUGACGCUGAGGCACGAAGCGUGGGA